rnacentral:misc_RNA from 1 species
AAGUCGUAACAAGGUAACCGUAGGUGAACCUGCGGUUGGAUCAUUAAAAAACAUUUGGUUUCGUACCAAAUCAACACCUGUGUGCACCAAAUGACUGUUUUUGGUAGUUCGAGUGCUCCCUGGGACUCAACACCCCGGGGUUCCUAUCGCUGCUUGAUUGGGUGUCCAACUUACUUGUGGCCAGUUGGCUUUUGGAGUCAUCAAGAGUCUAAAACCUUUUGAGGACUGCAAAGUCUGCUGGUUUCGGGCGAGUUGGUCACACUCACUCAUCGAGCAAUUUGCGGUUGGGCUACCGACCUUUUGAACAAACAUUUUUACUUUUUUUGUCUGAAAUUUUAAGAUUUAGUCUUUGAUGAUUAAUGAUUAAAUACAACUUUUAACAACGGAUCUCUUGGUUCUG